rnacentral:rRNA from 1 species
UACGUAGGUGGCAAGCGUUAUCCGGAAUUACUGGGCGUAAAGCGCACGCAGGCGGUUUGUUAAGUCAGAUGUGAAAUCCCCGGGCUCAACCUGGGAACUGCAUUCGAAACUGGCAGGCUAGAGUCUUGUAGAGGGGGGUAGAAUUCCAGGUGUAGCGGUGAAAUGCGUAGAGAUCUGGAGGAAUACCGGUGGCGAAGGCGGCCCCCUGGACAAAGACUGACGCUCAGGUGCGAAAGCGUGGGGAGCAAACAGG